rnacentral:rRNA from 1 species
CCUACGGGUGGCAGCAGUGAGGAAUAUUGGUCAAUGGACGCAAGGCUGAACCAGCCAAGUCGCGUGAAGGAAGAAGGAUCUAUGGGUUGUAAACUUCUUUUGUAGGGGAAUAAAGGUAGCCACGUGUGGCUAUUUGCAUGUAACCUAUGAAUAAGCAUCGGCUAACUCCGUGCCAGCAGCCGCGGUAAUACGGAGGAGGCGAGCGUUAUCCGGAUUUAUUGGGUUUAAAGGGUGCGUAGGUGGUUUUUUAAGUCAGCGGUGAAAGUUUGUGGCUCAACCAUAAAAUUGCCGUUGAUACUGGAAGACUUGAGUGUGUUUGCGGUAGGCGGAAUGCGUGGUGUCGCGG